CCUACGGGGGGCUGCAGUGGGGAAUAUUGGACAAUGGGGGAAACCCUGAUCCAGCGAUGCCGCGUGAAUGAUGAAGGCCUUAGGGUUGUAAAGUUCUUUCACCUGUGACGAUGAUGACGGUAACAGGAGAAGAAGCCCCGGCUAACUCCGUGCCAGCAGCCGCGGUAAGACGGAGGGGGCUAGCGUUGUUCGGAAUGACUGGGCGUAAAGGGCGCGUAGGCGGCUUAUCAAGUCAGGUGUGAAAGCCUUGGGCUUAACCCAAGAAUUGCGCUUGA
rnacentral:rRNA from 1 species